AAGUCUAGUGGAACGAUGCAGGGUUCAUUGGGUUUGUUUACAAAAAUUCAAGCAUCCGGUUAAGAAGACGACAAAUAAGAAUGGUAUUAAGUUGGUAGAAUGGAACUCCUUCCUGAUUCCUGCACAUGUAAGUUACCAGAUACUCUUGAGGGACCAAUUUAAGGGCAAACAGACAAACGUUUUGAUGCAAAGAAAGCAUUGGAUUUGAAAGUUCCCAUGGAGAAGAAAAAUGGAGAGAUUCUAAAAGUAUGAAGAUACUCCUGUGUAUAAUGAGGAAAUCUUGUCAGUGAAUGUUGUUGCAAUUGUGGACCAGGCCAGAGUUGUACUAAACCAACUAAGACACAAUGAGAUACAGGAAUGACACAAUGAGAAACAGGAAACAGGAAAGUGAUGACUGAUCGCCACCUGUUACAAAUUCAUCUAGAAAACUCCCCACAUCCAACAAGAGACAGUCUGACUUCAAAAUCUUCAUUGAAGGCAACUUAAUGGACAAGACAUCCGUCACAUAAAGAUUCACUAAAAUUGGAAUGAUAUACCAAUCUUA